CCUACGUGUGGCAGCAGUGAGGAAUAUUGGUCAAUGGGCGCGAGCCUGAACCAGCCAAGUCGCGUGAGGGAAGACGGUCCUCUGGAUUGUAAACUUCUUUUGUCGGGGAGCAACAGACGCCACGCGUUGCGUUCCGAGAGUACCCGACGAAAAAGCAUCGGCUAACUCCGUGCCAGCAGCCGCGGUAAUACGGAGGAUGCGAGCGUUAUCCGGAUUUAGUGGUGUUAAGGGGUGCGCAGGCGGAAGAUCAAGUCAGUGGGAAAAUUUAGGGGCUCAACCCCUUCGAGCCGUUGAAACUGGUUAUCUUGAGUGAGCGAGAAGUAUGCGGAAUGCGUGGUGUAGCGGUGAAAUGCAUAGAUAGCACGCAGAACUCCGAUUGCGAAGGCAGCAUACCGGCGCUCAACUGACGCUGAUGCACGAAAGUGUGGGUAGCGAACAGGAUUAGAUACCCCAGUAGUC
rnacentral:rRNA from 1 species